AGUAAGAAGAUGAAAGAGAAAUGACUUCUAUUGUGUUUUGCCCUAUUAUAGGUAGUUGAUUGGGAGAAGAAAUUUACAGAGUAUUCAUUAUGAGGGCUGGAGGCCUGAAAACUGCUUUCCUGAGAUUUCUUUGGCAGCUGGCUGGUAUAAGACUCUGACAGUGGGCGGUGAUAGCAGGGAUACUUUCUGGGAACUUUGGAACCCAGGACUCCUGCACUAGCAACAGAACGGCCUGGGAUUCCUGCAAGGCAGCGGCAGCAGUGCGUGGUCCACAGUACUAGCUGCGGUGGACUGCUCCGCGGGCACUACCCCAGCUCCAGCCCGGCACUGAUCCUCCUGCAGGUAACACCAUUUCCCCUUCUGCUCCUGUAGCCUGGGAUGGCGGCGAACUGCAGAUACUGACCAUUGAGGACCUUUCCUUUUCCCUUCUGGCUACUCCAGCCCUUCUAACUCUGUUGUAGCUUAUCUCGAAAUGUA